rnacentral:rRNA from 1 species
GACGAACGCUGGCGGCGUGCUUAACACAUGCAAGUCGAGCGGUAAGGCCCUUUCGGGGGUACACGAGCGGCGAACGGGUGAGUAACACGUGGGUGACCUGCCCUUAGCUCUGGGAUAAGCCUGGGAAACUGGGUCUAAUACCGGAUAUGACUCCAUGACGCAUGUUGUGGGUGGAAAGCCUUGUGCGGCUAGGGAUGGGCCCGCGGCCUAUCAGCUUGUUGGUGGGGUGAUGGCCUACCAAGGCGACGACGGGUAGCCGGCCUGAGAGGGCGACCGGCCACACUGGGACUGAGACACGGCCCAGACUCCUACGGGAGGCAGCAGUGGGGAAUCUUGCGCAAUGGGCGAAAGCCUGACGCAGCGACGCCGCGUGA